rnacentral:ncRNA from 2 species
CAUCCGAUUCAGGGGUGCCCUCAGGGCUGAGAUCAUACCCUUCGAACCUGAUGCAGUUUAUACUGCCGUAGGGAGAAUGCAUGACACCGAG